rnacentral:rRNA from 1 species
GACGAACGCUGGCGGCGUGCUUAACACAUGCAAGUCGAACGGUGAACCUCUUCGUAGGGGCUCAGUGGCGAACGGGUGCGUAACACGUGGGCAACCUGCCCCCGGCUCUGGGAUAACUCCAAGAAAUUGGGGCUAAUACCAGAUGUUCACCGCUUCCCGCAUGGGUGGUGGUGGAAAGGGUUUCCGGCUUGGGAUGGGCCCGCGGCCUAUCAGCUUGGUGGUGGGGUAGUGGCCUACCAAGGCGACGACGGGUAGCCGGCCUGAGACGGUGACGGGCCACACAGGGCCUGAGGAGGGGGCCGGACUCAAACGGGAGGCAGCAGUGGGGAAUAUUGCGCGAAGGGCGGAAGCCUGACGCAGCGACGCCGCGUGGGGGAUGACGGCUUUCGGGUUGUAAACCUCUUUCAGCAGGGACGAAGCGCAAGUGACGGUACCUGAAGAAGAAGCACCGGCCAACUACGUG